rnacentral:rRNA from 1 species
UGGUGAAUAUUGGACAAUGGGCGAAAGCCUGAUCCAGCCAUGCCGCGUGUGUGAAGAAGGUCUUCGGAUUGUAAAGCACUUUAAGUUGGGAGGAAGGGCAGUAAGCGAAUACCUUGCUGUUUUGACGUUACCGACAGAAUAAGCACCGGCUAACUCUGUGCCAGCAGCCGCGGUAAUACAGAGGGUGCAAGCGUUAAUCGGAAUUACUGGGCGUAAAGCGCGCGUAGGUGGUUCGUUAAGUUGAAUGUGAAAGCCCCGGGCUCAACCUGGGAACUGCAUCCAAAACUGGCGAGCUAGAGUAGGGCAGAGGGUGGUGGAAUUUCCUGUGUAGCGGUGAAAUGCGUAGAUAUAGGAAGGAACACAAGUGGCGAAGGCGACCACCUGGGCUCAUACUGACACUGAGGUGCGAAAGCGUGGGGAGCAAACAGG